CAGAGAUGAUCUGCGGCCUGCGGGUGCCCUAGAAGCGCCAAGGACGGGUCGCCCUUGAGGCCCAGCGUGAGACGAGCGCCCCUGGUGGUCGAGCUGAUAAUUACUGCCGGUGACGUCACAGUCAUCGUCCAUCAACUGACACCCUCCAGGGCGCCGCAUGGGCUGCCGGGGAGCAGGAGUGCCAAAGCUGCUUGCUGUUACGUUUGAAAAUCUGGAAUGAACUACUUAUUCUGGCAGUAUGACUGAAGAAAUAUGAACUAAAAUCAUUUUGAAAACAUCCACAAAGUACUGUAACAAAAAAGGAAAGUUGUGUAUACUAAUAUUGUAAAGUGACUUGAUGAUCAUUGUAUACUUAUUAUAAUAAUUAGUACUGUAUAUUUGAAUACAUAAUCUAAAAUUACCUACUUUUGAAGCUAAUGAAUCUCUACAGAAUUCGUGAAUAUAUAUAUAUAUAUAUAUAUAUAUGCUUUUAAUAACAAUUCAUAUAAUUGAAGCAUAAUUAAGUUUUAAGCGUUAAGUAAAAACUACGUGUACAAAUGUCAAACAAGUGAUACGGCUUUGUACUGCACUUGACCAGAUAGACGUAAUGUUUUCUAAUCUUGCCGUAUGAGUGCAGCACUAGUCAACCCAUCUUCUUUUUGUUAUUCUGCGUUAGUUGUAAAUUUAUUUUUCAACUACAAAAUACAAACUAACACCACUUAAAUACAUUUGUUUGAGAGGGAAUGGAAAAGGUUUCAAUGGAUGAUCAUAAGCAAACCAUACAAGUGCUCUAAAGCUAGUAGUAAAUUUCACAACUAGUUCAGGCAAGUCCUAAACAAAGAAUCUUGUUAAAUUGUAUUAUUUAUAUAGACCAUAUACAGUCUGAUAUUAAUUACUUUCUGUAUAGUUAUCUAGUUGUCUGACAGUGAUAUAAAUAUUAUUAAUGCGCCUGGAAAUAUAAGUAUUAUCAUAAAUAUAUCUAAUCAGUUAAUAAUAUUAUCAUAAAUAACUAUUAUCACAUAGUGUCUGAUGUUUCAUUUUAAGAGUGUCAAGCUAAGAAAAUGAUAAACUAUGAAAAACA